CAGGUAGGACUACCCGCUG
rnacentral:rRNA from 5 species